rnacentral:lncRNA from 1 species
UGCUAUCCCUCCCCACUCCCCCGACCCCACGACAGGCCCCAGUGUGUGAUUUUCCCCACUCUGUGUCCAAGUGUUCUCAUUGUUCAAUUCCCACCUAUCAGUGAGAACAUGCAGUGUUUGCUUUUCUGUCCUUGCGAUAGUUUGCUCAGAAUGAUGGUUUCCAGCUUCAUCCAUGUCCCUAAAAAGGACAUGAACUCAUCCUUUUUUAUGGCUGCAUAGUAUUCCAUGGUGUAUAUGUGCCACAUUUUCUUAAUCCAGUCUAUCAUUGAUGGACAUUUGGGUUGGUUCCAAGUCUUUGCUAUUGUGAAUAGUGCCGCAAUAAACAUACGUGUGCAUGUGUCUUUAUAGCAGCAUGAUUUAUAAUCCUCUUGGUAUAUACCCAGUAAUGGGAUCCCUGGGUCAAAUGGUAUUUCUAGUUUUUACAUUUUUUUAAGCUGCAGACCCUUUUCUUUCAUUUAAAUCUUACACAGAACCCAGUGUGUGAAAUAGGUAAGGUAGGAACAUCUCUGGUUGAAACCAGGUGGGGGCUGGACUCUCACUGGUCUUCCAGCACCCCCCCAGGGGGUCUCUGAGAGGUCUGUAAGGGGACAUCUGAACACAGUGUGAAACCCACCAGGCUAGAUCCCUUCAAAAGACCCCAAUAGACUGAAUGUUUGUGCAGAGCCCUCAUAAAAGGGAUCAGUGCCCUUACAAAAGAGACCCUACAGAGCUCUCUACCCCUUCCACCAUGUGAAGACACAGCAAGAGGGUGCCAUCUAGAAACCAGGAGGUGAGCCCUCGCCAGACACUGAAUCUGCCAGUGCCUUGAUCUUGGACUUCCCAGCCUCCAGAACUGUGAGAAAUAAACUUCUGUUGUAUAUAAGCCACCCAGUCUAGGAUACAGGCAGUCCCCAACUUACAAGGGUUCAACUUAUUAUUUUUUGACUUCAUAAUGGCACAAAAGCAAUAUGCAUUAAGUAGAAACUCUACUUGAGUACCUGUACAACCAUUCUGGUUUUCACUUUCAGUGCAGUAUUCAAAAAAUUACAUGAGAUAUUCGACACUUUUUAAUAAAAUCGGCUUUGUGUUAGAUGAUUUUGCUCAACUAUAGGCAAACGUAAAUGUUCUGAGCACGUUUAAGGUUGGCUAGGCUAAGCGAUGCUGUUCAGUAGGUUGGGGUAUUAAAUGCAUUUUCAACUUAUGAUAUUUUCAACUUACAAUGGAUUUAUCAGGGCAUAACCCUAUCAUAAGUCAAGGAGUAUCUGUAUUCUGUUAUAGCAGCCUGAGCAGACUAAAACAGGCCCCCAGCUCAGAAAUGCUGUGACCCUUUAAUUCCUAGCGAAUAAUCAUAGAAAAAAACUAACACGUAUUGAGUAUUAACUAUGCACCAGGCACUAAACUAAGGGCUUUAUACAAAUUCCCUCCUUUAAUCCUCAUCACAAACCUACAAAGUAGGUUUUAUUACAUGGCAGAGACUGCCAGCUGCCCACCAAACACUACUCUCUCUUUCAUUUAA